UGGGGAAUAUUGCACAAUGGGCGCAAGCCUGAUGCAGCCAUGCCGCGUGUGUGAAGAAGGCCUUCGGGUUGUAAAGCACUUUCAGCGAGGAGGAAGGUGGUGGACUUAAUACGUUCAUCAAUUGACGUUACUCGCAGAAGAAGCACCGGCUAACUCCGUGCCAGCAGCCGCGGUAAUACGGAGGGUGCAAGCGUUAAUCGGAAUUACUGGGCGUAAAGCGCACGCAGGCGGUUUGUUAAGUCAGAUGUGAAAUCCCCGGGCUCAACCUGGGAACUGCAUUUGAAACUGGCAAGCUAGAGUCUCGUAGAGGGGGGUAGAAUUCCAGGUGUAGCGGUGAAAUGCGUAGAGAUCUGGAGGAAUACCGGUGGCGAAGGCGGCCCCCUGGACGAAGACUGACGCUCAGGCUGCGAAAGGCGUGGGGGCAGCAAACAGGAUUAGAUACCCUGGUAGUCCACGCUGUAAACGAUGUCGAUUUUGGAGGUUGUGCCCUUGAGGCGUGGCUUCCGGAGCUAACGCGUUAAAUCGACCGCCU
rnacentral:rRNA from 1 species